AUCGGCAGGGCUGUGGACAUUCGUACUACCCUCUCGCCUUUUACUAGAGGAUACCGUGUCCGCUGUCCGCUAAUGCCGUGUUACCAAUUUUUCAGACAACCGUUGCAUUCGGUGC
rnacentral:snRNA from 1 species